rnacentral:rRNA from 1 species
UACAGAGGGUGCGAGCGUUAAUCGGAAUUACUGGGCGUAAAGCGUGCGUAGACGGUUAUUUAAGUCGGAUGUGAAAGCCCCCGGGCUCAACCUGGGAAUUGCAUUCGAGACUGAAUAGCUAGGGUGCGGUAGAGGGAAGCGGAAUUUCCGGUGUAGCGGUGAAAUGCGUAGAUAUCGGAAGGAACAUCAGUGGCGAAAGCGGCUUCCAUGGAC